UCGUGAGAAACUUUUCUCGUUAUCACUCGGGGCAUUGUCCGGAGCCCCAGGUCAUCAAUAAAGAACAGUGUUGAGCCAGGUUACGCUUUGAGGGACCCUCUGAAGAAUCGGAGACAAAUAGGGUUGGCGGGAAACAAAAGUGAAGACCCGAUUAGGGUGAGCCCCGGUGAGUCGGCCGGGUGAGUGGGGAGAAUGUGGCGGGGUGACCUGGCACGUCGGCGCCGCCGGGACCACCAACGAUAGCAGACACCGUCCCCGCAACCUUGUGAAAAGGAAAGACUUCAAACAGCGUUAAUUGACAACCUGUACACGGGACUUCGACACUGCCUCACACAAAAGACGAUCACCAGGCACGCAGUCAUCCCAGCACGGACUUCCCAACCCAAAGCCAUGUGGACCAUCUGUCUACAGCCUGUACAGACAAGUUAACAACGUGCAGAGAGCGAUGGAUGGAUGGAGGGAUGGACAGAUGGAUGGAUGAAAGAAAUAAAAGACGGAGUGUUUUGUGAAAUGAAGGGAGGAUGGGUGGAUGAAUGGAUGGAUGGAUAUGUGGAGAAAUAAAGAUUUUGAAUGAGCACUUAAUGCACAGUCGACGCUGUA